AGGCUUGAGUCUUGUAGAAGGGGGGUAGAAUUACCAGGUGUAGCGGUGAAAUGCGAUAGAGAUCUGCGAGGAGAUACCGGUGGCGAAGGCGGCCCCCUUGGACAAAGACUGACGCUCAGGUGCGAAAGCGUGGGGAGCAAACAGGAUUAGAUAGCCCUGGUAGUCCACGCCCGUAAAUCGAUGUCGACUUGGAGGUUGUGCCCUUGAGGCGUCGGCUUCCGCGAGCUAACGCGUUAAGUCGACCGCCUGGGGCAGUACGGCCGCAGAGGCUUAAAGACUUCAAAUGAAUUGACGGGGGCCCGCACAAGCGGUGGAGCAUGUGCGUUUAAUUCGAUGCAACGCGAAGAACCUUACCUGGUCUUGACGAUCUCAGCAGAACUUUCCAGAGAUGGAUUGGUGCCUUCGGGAACUGUGAGACAGGUGCUGCAUGGCUGUCGUCAGCUCGUGUUGUGAAAUGUUGGGUUAAGUCCCGCAACGAGCGCAACCCUUAUCCUUUGUUGCCAGCGGUCCGGCCGGGAACUCAAAGGAGACUGCCAGUGAUAAACUGGAGGAAGGUGGGGAUGACGUCAAGUCAUCAUGGCCCUUACGACCAGGGCUACACACGUGCUACAAUGGCGCAUACAAAGAGAAGCGAACUCGCGAGAGCAAGCGGACCUCAUAAAGUGCGUCGUAGUCCGGAUUGGAGUCUGCAACUCGACUCCAUGAAGUCGGAAUCGCUAGUAAUCGUGGAUCAGAAUGCCACGGUGAAUACGUUCCCGGGCCUUGUACACACCGCCCGUCACAACCAUGGGAGUGGGUUGCAAAAAGAAAGUAGGUGAGCGUUAACCCUUCGGG
rnacentral:rRNA from 1 species